rnacentral:rRNA from 1 species
UAGUACGGCGAGUGAGAGGGAAGAGCCCAAGAUUGAAAGCUGGCGUCUUCGGCGUCCGCAUUGUAAUCUCAAGAAGUGUUUUCCGCUUCGGACCAUGCCUAAGUCCCUUGGAAAAGGGCAUCAUAGAGGGUGAUAAUCCCGUACAUGGCAUGGAGCGCCCGAAGCUUUGUGAUACGCUUUCUACGAGUCGAGUUGUUUGGGAAUGCAGCUCAAAAUGGGUGGUAAAUGCCAUCUAAGGCCAAAUAUUGGGGAGAGACCGAUAGCGAACAAGUACAGUGAUGGAAAGAUGAAAAGAACUUUGAAAAGAGAGUUAAACAGUACGUGAAAUUGCCAAAAGGGAAGGGUAGGAGGUCAGAGAUGCGUCUUGGGAUUCAGCCUUGCUUUUGCAUGGUGUUUUUCCCAAGUUGCAGGCCAACGUCGGUUUUGGGCACUGGAGAAGGGUAGGAGGAACGUGGCACCUCUCGGGGUGUGUUAUAGCCUCCUACUGGAUACAGCGACCGAGACCGAGGAACGCAGCGUACUCGUAAGAGCGGGCCUUUUGGCACCUUUACGCUUAGGGCGUUGGCAUAAUGGCCCUCUACCACCCGUCUUGA